UUUCCGUAGGUGUACCUGCGGAAGGAUCAUUCAUAAUAAGUGUUUUAUGGCUCUUUUUUAAAUCCAUAUCUGCCUUGUGUGCAAUGUCAGGGUUGAUUUUUCUCUCGAGAGGAUCAACCCCAAACAUCCACUAUAUCUCAACUCUUUGUCUGAAAAAUAUUAUGAAUAAAACAAUUCAAAAUACAACUUUCAACAACGGAUCUCUUGGUUCUC
rnacentral:misc_RNA from 1 species